rnacentral:rRNA from 1 species
GGUCAUGUUGAUGGGCGGACUGUUGACGAACGCCGUCAUCUGCGUGACCCCGCGCGCCUUCGCGGCCUGAAGGAACCAGCGCUGCCCCGGCAGCCGGGUCCAGUCGUAGUCGCUGAAGUCCUCGUUGUAGAAGGUGUCGGCCCGACGCCAGGGGUCUCUGAUAUUGUUCUGCCGGCUACUGCCUGCGCCGAUGUUGAAGCGCCACAUCGAAAGCCCGAUCCCCUUCGGAUCCUGGUUCGUGUCGAGUCCCGUCUCGAAGAGCAGG